rnacentral:rRNA from 1 species
GACGAACGCUGGCGGCGUGCUUAACACAUGCAAGUCGAACGGAAAGGCCCUGCUUUUGUGGGGUGCUCGAGUGGCGAACGGGUGAGUAACACGUGAGUAACCUGCCCUUGACUUUGGGAUAACUUCAGGAAACUGGGGCUAAUCCCGGAUAGGAGCUCCUGCUGCAUGGUGGGGGUUGGAAAGUUUCGGCGGUUGGGGAUGGACUCGCGGCUUAUCAGCUUGUUGGUGGGGUAGUGGCUUACCAAGGCUUUGACGGGUAGCCGGCCUGAGAGGGUGACCGGGCACAUGGGGACUGAGAGACGGCCCAGACUCCAACGGGAGGCAGUAGUGGGGAGUAUUGCACAAUGGGCGGAAGCCGGAGGAAGCAGCGCCGCGGGUGGGAUGACGGCUUGCUGGGUGUAAACCGCUUUCGCCUGUGACGAAGCUGGAGUGACGGUAAUGGGUAAAGAAGCACCGACUAACUACGUG